GUGCCCGUAGCUCAAUUGGAUAGAGCAUCUGACUACGAAUCAGAAGGUUGGGAGUUCGAGUCUCUCCGGGCGCGCCA
rnacentral:tRNA from 1 species